rnacentral:rRNA from 1 species
AAAUUGAAGAGUUUGAUCAUGGCUCAGAUUGAACGCUGGCGGCAGGCCUAACACAUGCAAGUCGAACGGUAACAGGAAGCAGCUUGCUGCUUUGCUGACGAGUGGCGGACGGGUGAGUAAUGUCUGGGAAACUGCCUGAUGGAGGGGGAUAACUACUGGAAACGGUGGCUAAUACCGCAUAACGUCGCAAGACCAAAGAGGGGGACCUUCGGGCCUCUUGCCAUCAGAUGUGCCCAGAUGGGAUUAGCUAGUUGGUGAGGUAACGGCUCACCAAGGCGACGAUCCCUAGCUGGUCUGAGAGGAUGACCAGCCACACUGGAACUGAGACACGGUCCAGACUCCUACGGGAGGCAGCAGUGGGGAAUAUUGCACAAUGGGCGCAAGCCUGAUGCAGCCAUGCCGC